rnacentral:SRP_RNA from 1 species
GGAGGCGGGCGGGAUCUGGGCGUGGCUCGUGUUCCGAGUCGCGCGAAGCGGCACGAACCGCGAGGGCGGCUUCACCGAG